UACGUAGGGAGCGAGCGUUGUCCGGAUUCAUUGGGCGUAAAGAGCUCGUAGGCGGCUUGAUAAGUCGGAUGUGAACCUCCAGGCUCAACCUGGAGUCGCCAUCCGAUACUGUCAUGGCUAGAGUCCGGUAGGGGCCACGGAACUCCUGGUGUAGCGGUGAAAUGCGCAGAUAUCAGGAAGAACACCGAUGGCGAAGGCAGUGG
rnacentral:rRNA from 1 species